ACACCUCACUACUAUAACUUUAUUGUUAUGAUAGUGGAUUUGGAAUGCGCUGGUGUUAGUCAGCCCUUCUAAAAUGGAGUUCUUGCACUGUUGAUUUGUUUUAACAGCAAUGUUGGCCUAAUAAGUUUCAGCAGCAAUGUUGAAAUCACUGGCUUUUUUGCUUAGAAUCGGACAGUCUUGAUAUACAGAAUUUUUGAGGUGACUUUUGUCUCCUCUUCAAA
rnacentral:misc_RNA from 1 species